rnacentral:rRNA from 1 species
AUUGAACGCUGGCGGCAGGCUUAACACAUGCCAGUCGAACGAUGACGCUCUAGCUUGCUAGAGAUGAUUAGUGGCGGACGGGUGAGUAACAUUUAGGAAUCUACCUUGUAGUGGGGGAUAGCUCGGGGAAACUCGAAUUAAUACCGCAUACGACCUACGGGUGAAAAGGGGCGCAAGCUCUUGCUAUUAGAUGUGCAUAAAUCAGAUUAGCUAGUUGGUGGGGUAAUGGCCCACCAAGGCGACGAUCUGUAACUGGUCUGAGAGGAUGAUCAGUCACACCGGAACUGAGACACGGUCCGGACUCCUACGGGAGGCAGCAGUGGGGAAUAUUGGACAAUGGGGGCAACCCUGAUCCAGCCAUGCCGAGUGUGUGAAGAAGGCCUUUUGGUUGUAAAGCACUUUAAGCAGGGAGGAGAGGCUAAUGGUUAAUACCCAUUAGAUUAGACGUUACCUGCAGAAUAAGCACCGGCUAACUCUGUG